AAAUUAAACUCACANGNGGCGAACGGAAUGAGUAAUGCAUCGGAACGUGCCCGGUCGUGGGGGAUAACGCAGCGAAAGCUGCGCUAAUACCGCAUACGAUCUGAGGAUGAAAGCGGGGGACCGUAAGGCCUCGCGCGAUCGGAGCGGCCGAUGUCAGAUUAGGUAGUUGGUGGGGUAAAGGCUCACCAAGCCGACGAUCUGUAGCUGGUCUGAGAGGACGACCAGCCACACUGGGACUGAGACACGGCCCAGACUCCUACGGGAGGCAGCAGUGGGGAAUUUUGGACAAUGGGCGCAAGCCUGAUCCAGCAAUGCCGCGUGCAGGAAGAAGGCCUUCGGGUUGUAAACUGCUUUUGUACGGAGCGAAAAGGCUCUCUCUAAUACAGGGGGUCCAUGACGGUACCG
rnacentral:rRNA from 1 species